UGAAGAUGCCACGUGCUUUUGUGCGUGGUGUGUGUGUGUGUGUGUGUGUGUGUGUGUGUGUGUGUGCACCCCCAGAUAAAUGUGCUUCAUUUUGC
rnacentral:miRNA from 1 species